rnacentral:sRNA from 1 species
UUGUUUCAUGGAGAGCAAUUGUUUGCAG